rnacentral:rRNA from 1 species
AUGGAGUGCUCAUCCGCGCCAACACCUACUUGGGAUUUGGUGUGGAGUCUGAGUUGCCCAUCAAAGAUUAAAAUUCUUGUCUAGAGAGUACUUCUUAGUGCUAUUCCAUGCCAUUCCAUUCUUGCUGAUAGACAUAUCAAGAUCAAGCCACACUGCCCAGUAUGCAAUCAAGGACCGGAGAGCAUCCGCCACCUUCUUUUUGAAUGCCCUGUUGCGGUGCAGGUAUGGAAACUCCUGGGAGUGCUAGAUGUGAUAAAGAAAGGACUACAGAUUAGUGUGUCCGGCGAGGUAGUGUUGGAAUUUCUUCUCAGCUUACCAGACAAUCAUGUCCAUGUGCUAGGUCUGCCAAAACUGAGAGAAACUGUUGCUACAUGCUGUUGGUUUUUGUGGUGGGAAAGGAGGAAGAUUACACAUGGAGAUGUUCCACAAUCUGCGGCACAGAUCAACCUUGCUGUUCGAGCCUUGGCGGCGAACUUUACUGCUGCGUGUUCCUCAACGCCGAAAAUUGGCGUGGGUGGCUGGACAAGACCAAGGACGGAUUACAUCAAACUAAACGUGGAUGCGGGAUUUGAUCCCGAUUCACUUGAAGGUUCUGUUGGUGCUGUCAUCAGAGACCAUAAUGGUAAAUUCAUAGCUGUCGCGAAUGAAAAACUGGAAAUAUGCUAUGAUGCUUUCACUGCAGAGGCCAUUGCAGUUAGGUUUGGACUCAACCUCGUCCGUACAGUUGGGUGCAGCAAAAUUCAAGUGAAUUCAGACAGCGUGGAGGUUAUUUCAGCACUCAAAGAGGGAUACUCAUCUUCGGUGGCCAGAGCGAUCUUUGAUGAUUGUUUUUCCAUUUCUUUAUAUUUCAAUAAUAUUGUUUUUGAACAUUGUUAUAGAGAGAACAAUAAAGUAGCUCACGAAUUAGCUAGACUAGCUAGAUUCACUCCUCCUGAUGUAUGGAUGGAAGCAGCCCCGAUGGCUGUUCUUCCUCUUCUGGUUUCUGAUGCUACAAUUGUAGUCAAUUAA